UCCAGUACACGGAAGUUACUCCCUGUUGCUCCGGAGCAAAAAAUUCUUGCUCCUUUUCACUCCGGUUUGCUACCAAAAGAAGAAAAAGGGAAGAAGAUAAUACAGGAACGUUUUUCUCCCUGUUUGCUCCGGAGUACUUCCAGUUUCUCCUGGUACUGGAACAAACCUAUAGUUAAUCGGCCUUAUUCUUCUCGGCGUGUGACGAGAGGUGACUACGUUCCAGAUCUGAAGCGUGGUGGUGUAGAUUCACGGUCUCACAUUAGGGGGCAGCAGGGACAUCCCAUCCCCCGGACCAAUUGCGAGUUAUGAGUUUUUCUAGGUGGGGUUGGGGCAGCAUUGCACCAACGACACGACUGGACACUGCCAUUCCAAAACUGUAUCGCAAAUCUGACUACCCCUCAGUGAUUCAGCUCCCAGGAGAUCAAUCAGAAGAGUUAGCCGUUGAUUCUGACGCUAGUAUGAUACGGGAUCUGCCUAUUACCACAGCUUAUGCAGCUCAACAGACUUGUGAAUGGAUAUCUAAAAGGUUUUGUCGUGAAACCGUUGAUCAUUUGACUAUCACGAUUGUCAUCUUGGAAAAAAUCAGUUGGAUAUUAGCAACAACGAGGACACCGGUUCAUGAUUCACGUGUCACACAAUCAGAAAACACAAUGUACUGCUCUCUAUAAUUCCACUGAUAAUCAAAAGUGUUAUUUGCUUUUCAAAAGUAUUUUAUCGCACAGUUUAUCUAGCGCAUUUUUUUGAAAUUUUUUUUUUCCACCUAUGCUAAUCACCUUGAUAUGAGCAUCGUUUAGUCAAUAGACCCUCAAAAUAUCAGCUCUAGCGAAAAGACCGAAUUUUCCCCUCGUUCGCGAAUCCUCAAGAUUCAUUUCCCGACGAUAGUGGCACUCAUAACUUAGAUUCGCUUAACACAGUAAAGGCAAGGCCCAUGAUGCUCCGUUCGCGA